rnacentral:rRNA from 1 species
GACGAACGCUGGCGGCGUGCUUAACACAUGCAAGUCGAACGGAAAGGCCCUGCUUUUGUGGGGUGCUCGAGUGGCGAACGGGUGAGUAACACGUGAGUAACCUGCCCUUGACUUUGGGAUAACUUCAGGAAACUGGGGCUAAUACCGGAUAGGAGCUCCUGCUGCAUGGUGGUGGUUGGAAAGUUUCGGCGGUUGGGGAUGGACUCGCGGCUUAUCAGCUUGUUGGUGGGGUAGUGGCUUACCAAGGCUUUGACGGGUAGCCGGCCUGAGAGGGUGACCGGCCACAUUGGGACUGAGAUACGGCACAGACUCCUACGGGAGGCAGCAGUGGAGAAUAUUGCACAAUGGGCGGAAGCCUGAUGCAGCAACGCCGCGUGCGGGAUGACGGCCUUCGGGGUGUAAACCGCUUUCGCCUGUGACGAAGCGUGAGUGACGGUAAUGGGUAAAGAAGCACCGGCUAACUACGUG